CCGACCGCCACGCCUUCGCUCGCUCCUACUCAUGAUUGGCUGGAUUAGGAUUCUUCAAAGACUUCGUCUCUGCUUUCGGUGUGCCAAAUGACGCCUUCGCGUGCUGUCGGGAAAACGUUAUCUCAAGGGCAGCAAUGGAUGGAUCAGAACGGGCUGUGACAUUCGAGAUGUGCUGAAAGUGAGUGACCGCAUAAUGUAACAAGAAGAGAAAAGGCAGUGGGGAAGUGUGUAAAAUGUGCAACUGCUCAAUUUUACCACAAGGGGAAGACAUCCUCGACUUCAGGGAUAAAAGACUGGCAGACCACUACAAGGACCAUUCAUUCAAACAAUACACACAUGAACAUGGACUUGGAAAAAGCCAUGGUGUCCAAAGUCCAUGUUCAAGUUAAAAGGUCAACAGGAAACAAACUUGCCAAACUCCUGAGGAACAAUUAAGGCUUAGCCAUAUAGAGUUAGUAGCCUAACCUGUUUUUGGUCAGUAUUUUCAACCACAGUUACCAAAUGAAAAAGGGAGCAUGUUUUGUGGUAUUUUAAGGGGCUUUAACAGGGAGAAAGGAUUGAAGAAAUAUGGAAAAUCCCUGCAGGAACUUAACCGCUGUAUUAGUAGGAUAAUGCCAGACACAAUCUGAAAGACCAGUGAAAUAAAGAUCCCAAUCUAACCAGUGUUAGUAUUGUGUGGCUCACAAAUGAAACUUAUUUUUUAAAGAACUCAUUCUCAUAAAGCUGUAUUUGACUCAUGCUUUGUUAUUGCUCACAUCAGACUUUAGUAGUAAAACAAACAUUUGUUUGAUUAGAGUUCAUGUCAAAUGCAGUGGUGAAAAAAAAUGACUUCCAAACAUGCCAUGACAUAAACAACAAAAACUGACAUUGGGCCAUCUGUUUGUUAUAAUACAGCUGCUUAAUUCAUCUGUUGCUCUGCACUUUGGUUCAUUUGUGCAAAUCAGAAGCAUCAAAAAAUGUUUACAUUUUUGCAAACAAGAUGCUUCCAAUGUUCAUUAUAUUGUUUGACGUGAGUCCAUUAAUAUUUCAGAAGUUUGCUGAAUAGGCUAUGACAAACAAGCAGUGUUAAAUGUUCUUGCACAUGCACAUCUCAGUGGAAGGAUUUUUUUGGAUUUGUAAUAUUACCUUACCUUGAUUUGUAAUAUUACCUAACAUUAUGAAAAUGAAGGCUGCCUUCAUUGGAAAACUGGUAAUGUUCUGUUAGAAGUGAAUGAGAUUUCUGUGCUCUAAAUCUAAAAUAACCUCACAAUAAUGUGUAAAGCAACAGUGUGUCCCACAUAAUGAGCAGACAACUAAUGUGUGUCCCAUUGUCUCCAUAUAUUUUUCUUUUAGUGCCAAUCACUGAUCAUGACAAUAAAACCGGUUUACUGUGUUUCCACCCUC